UCGAAUUUAAAAUGCCUACUAUAAAUUCCACACGUGGAAUCGUCGAAGUACGCCAUCGAUCGGUAAUGUAGAAAACUGUUCGCAAGCACGGUACUACUGAGUUCGACCCUUUGAGCUUACAGCUUAAACGUGUUUCGAACUUCGAAGAUGGCGAUCUGAGGGGUAGGGCCGGGCAACACGCUCCGCGAGGAAGGUCCUUGGUCAUCAGUUUUAUUUUUCCAAAUAAUAAAUUUUGGAUUUGGUGAUGGUCUCUUCUCUGUAUGCUAUAAUCAAGGCCCUCGACACAAAAACAAAGAAAGUGCUACUAAUUUAAUUAAUCUUCCAAAAGCAGGCUUUAUUAUUUCAAAACAAUAUCGCCUCUAAAGAAAUGUAUACAUAUAUAAUCGCUUAAACACUAAUUCCCAAACAUGUGUUAUAGAUAAUUACUUCAACUUUUUUUUUUUUUUCGUAAAGUAUCUAGUCAAGCUACACCACUUGCCUCUAUAUAAAAAAAAAUAGAAGAUAUCAAAAAAAAAGUGGAAGACACCAAAAAAAAGUCUGCGUAAAAAUUUGCAUAAAAAUUUACAUCAAAAUCUAGAUAAAAAAUUUACACAAAAAAUCUACAUAAAAAAAUUUAUAUAAAAAAAAAAGAAAAUUAACUUGAAUAAUUGAAAAUUACAAGUUCACUUAUCAAAGUGUUAUAUUUUCAAGAAGAAUGUCUCUGAUAAAGAGAAAAAGAGAUUUAAAAAAUACCAAAGAUAAGCAUUAAAAUACAGUGAUUUAAUUAAUAAAUCUAUAUAAAUAUGAAAUCAGUUUUUUACAUUCUUUUCCAA